AUGGGGAAGUGAGGCUUUGUUUGAAUCUUAAAUAGUCCUUUGAUGUGUUUUCCACUUAUUUUUCUCUAUUAACUCAUAAAUUUUUCUUCAUAGAUUAUUUUCAUAUUUGAACAAUUGAUUUUCUUCUAACAGGUGAAUGAAGUAAAUAUGAAACUCUGAGGGUCCCUAAGUAAAGAGCUAUUAUGGGGAGCAGGCUGUAAAAGGGAGCAGCCAUCUUUUUACUCUGCUGAUUAAAGGACAUAAUGCUACCAAAUGCUGCUGCAGGAAUUAUACUUUCCCAAAUCAAUAAGUGUGUUUUUCCCACACCCUUGAAACUUAGGAUUUUUAACUUCUUAUUUACACAACACAGGAGUUUAACCUUCUGCACUACCAUUCCACAUCAGGAAAACAAAUAGUGAAAUAUCCUCUGCUAUGAUAAAAAUCAGUAAUUUCCUAGCCCAUUUUGUACUAAUGCUAUAAGCAGGGAAGUAGAUUAAAAAUAAUUAAAAAUAAACAAAAGAAAAGCCAAACACAACAACCAACAAACUUGGAGUUUAAAAUGUAAAGGUAAAAACAGCAUUGUAAUUUAAUAAUGGUUUUGUUCACUUUUUAGACAAUAAUUAGUUCUUGAUAAAGGGUAAAGACAAAUUCUUUCAGUACUUAUAGAACUGCAACUAAAUGGCUAUGGAGUGGAAGACAAAUAAGGUGUUGAGACUGCAUGGAAUCACAAGUCCUCUGUUGCAGCCAGAGGAGUAGUCAGCAUACCUCAGAAGCCACAAGAACCUAGAGGAGAACCUCUACCUCAGACUUUCUUUUUAAUUUUUCAGAAACUUAUCUACAACUGCACCUUCUAAUUAAUAUGCUCCCAGACAACAGUGACCUUCUGCUCAUGAUAAACCCUCUCCAAUAUAUGGAUUUUUCUCCCAGAACUUUGAAUCUGUGCAAGAAGUUCUACUGUGUGAGGAAACCACCAUAGAAUCAUGUGAGGCUGGGAGCAGUAACAAACACUAUCAACUCUAAAGUAAUACCUUAAGACUCACUUUUUGUGUGCAAACCCAGACCUUCUUGUUUCAGAACAUCACUGUAUAUCUUUUCUGUUCUUUUCUUCUAGGAGAAAUUCCUUUCUGUUUUUUUUGGGCACAGGCACAAAUUUGUUCACAGAAAAAUAAUUAAAAAAAUUGUUUUCAGAAAAAUAAACCAGGGAUCAGUUUGAAAAUUUGUUCUGAAAUAAGGCUAAAAAUUGAGAGGGGGUAGGAAGGAGAAAGGCAUAGAAGAGGUACCUUUGGCCAUGUGAGGAGAGGCAAAGACCAGAGGUCUGUUCACUCUCCGAACUUGGCAGCUGAAGUCUCUCCCUCUGCCUCUCUGUGUCUCUUUGUUUGUCUGUCUCUCUGCAGUACAUGGUGUCUAAGAGAGUGCCCAAGCUAAGAUAGUCUGCUGCCAAUAAGUCCCUGAUAGAUCAUAUUAGUGUAGACAAAAUGCCACAUGAGUGGCUGCUUAAUUAGCCAGGCAAAAGAAAUAGAUUCACAGCCACAUGCCUGGAAAAGCAAUGCUUGCUUACUUUGACAAAAAUACUGCAGCAAGGUAAACACCAGGGAGAGAAAAUUAGCAUGCCUCAAGAACAAUAUUGGCACAACAAACACCAAUAAGCAGAUUUAGAAAGAAGAAUGAAGCUAGAGAUGAGACAAGUUUUCCGAUUACCUUCAAACAGAGAAGCAUCCCUGCUCCAGAGGGUCUACUCUUUUCAAGGUGAAGCUUGCUGUAUGGGAUCAUAUGAAGUCUGUGACAAUGGCAAACUGGACAAGAUGCUGGAAUAAAAGAACCUAUCCUUGGGAAAGAAACUACAGGUGAAAACCUGGUUCCACUGAGACCAAAGUUUUUUCACAGAUCCCAUAAAGAGCAAGCUGUGCAAUGCUGUCUCUCCACAACUAAUUGGGAAUUUCUGAACCAUGGGAAAAAAGUUGUUCAAGACAGAAGAUCAGUCUAAUGAAAAGCUCCAUUGCAACUACAGAAGCAGUCUGAGAGGCUUGUUUUUCUUCAGACCAUCACCACCAAUUGAAUUCUCAUAGAAAAUAUUUUAAAAGGACUCCUUCAAAGAAAUCAUUCACCAGCAUGCAGAAAAAAAAUCAUGUCUUCUGUUGCUUUUAUGUUGCAAAGGACUAGCUCUUACAACUUCUGAGAAACCGAAGUAGUGUUCUCAAUGUUGGAUGUCAUUUUAACUACCAAUCAGGGACCACCAUCGCCAGAGGUGCAGCAGGAGAGCUUCUGAUGUAAUGGUGAGGCCUAUCCAGGUCUCCAACACCUCCUUCCCACCCCAAGAUUAGGAUAGUCUUGUAAAAGCCCUGUCUCAGUAGAAACCUCUGUGAUCUCAUGCAAGGUAUGACAUUUAUCAACUUCAGAAGGAAGAUUUUUUCAAAUCAUGAUUGAAUGAAGACAAGCUUGACACUUGAUCAUACCAUAUGGCAAGUGGGAAUGAAAAGAAAAAACAACCAGGGCAACUCUUUGGAUUUCAAUAUGGGUUUGAAGAGAUACUGCAUGAGAAAAGAGAGGAAAGAGGAAAAAGCAGCUACUUUGUCAUAUCUUUUUCAGUGUGUCUCACUACCAGCCUACCGAAAGGUUACACAAGCCAUAGUCAGAUCCUCACCUGAUAUCUGUCUCUUUUUGCUGACUUAAGAAUUCUGAACAUCUUCCACACUGAUCAAACUUUUGUCACUGUUUUUCCCUCAGUUGUAUAGAACAACUCAAUUGGCUUCUAUGGAGUUACUCCAGUUUACAUGAGAUGAGAAGUUAACCAAGAAUACCCACAUUAUUAUGAGAACAGAAAUUAAUCUCUUAAAACUUAAUUGGAGUAGCGUCAGAUAUCUGUCUUUUAACAUUAAUGUGGCAACAGUCAGAUAAAUGUCAGUGUGCUAAAAGUCCAAACAAUACUAUUUCUUCAGACUGAUUGAUCUACCUUUUCAGAUGCUUGCAUUGACCAUCAGUGUCUAGACUGUGGUAAAUGUUAAUAGAAAUACACCAAUGUAACUCACUGUUAAUUUUGUUGACUUGGAGGUAGAAGUUUUCGAGGUUCUCACUGACGAUUGGAAUGCUCUUCAGCUGAUUGAAGGAGAGAUCCAACUCAACCAGUGAUGUGAUAUUGAAGGCAUUGCCUGGUAUUCCAGAAUCUGUUAAUUUAUUGUGGGAUAAAC